AAAUCUGGGACAUCUUUCGUGGUUCGAAACGGCACAGGUGAAAGAAUCCCAUGCGCCUACAUUACCCCACCCCCCACUCCUGGACAGCUUUCCCCUCCCCAUCCCCUUCUCUUCCACAGACCCGGAGUGCGGCGGCUCUGCUCCGGCGAUCUGUCCAUCGACGGCCUCGAGAUCGAUGGGGGCCUUGCCGUGCCGGCUGGAUGGAGUGGUUCUGUCCUCCAAGUGGAGUCCCAGGAUUCCAUGGGUGCAGCAGAUGCGGCCGACAAAGCACAGGCAGACGGAGGUGCGGCCAUAUAGGAGGUGUGUUCUGAAGCUACGAGUGGCUGGACACGAAGCCACCGUUUCAGGGAUAGGAUGGGGAAAGCUCCUGACGAGAGGGAGAUGAAGCCUGACAAGAAAACAGCACUGGAAUUGUCUGUGCGCGCUUAUGCUGAGAAAGGAGCUGGUCAUGUUGUCAAUCCAGCAAUUGGCACAUCUUUUGACUCGUUAGAUGAGGCUUAUGAGUUCUACAACCUUUAUUCCUGGGAAUGUGGUUUUGGAGUUCGGCUAUGUUGCUCGGAAAAGGUGCAUGCAAGAGAUUGUUUGUGAUUGUGCGGUAGGUGAUCGCAAAGUGCAUUAUGUUUGAUGCCAUAAUGUUUGAUGGACUGUUUGAGCCUAACUUCCUCUAGAUUAAAUUAGUUGUGACUUGUGAGGUUUGAUCGCAAAGUGCAUUAUGUUGCCAGGAAAGGAAUGCUAGGAUCUUUGAACACACCGCCAGUAUCGUCGACAGAGUUUUGGACCAGAUUAGAGAAGAUCUUCAAGUCUGGAGGGCAGCGGGGUGUGUUCUGGAUCUUACUUUGUAAAAGCCUCUUAUAAAAGCCUCUUGUAAUUGGGGUGUUCUAUCCUGGGGGUGGCGCCCUCGGGAGGUCUUUCAGUGCGAGACCGCCUAGCCUGUCUGACCUUGUUGUACUCUUCUCCUCUUUCUAAUAAAAUUCGGCCAACGGCCCUUCGAGGUUUGAUGCCAUCA